CUUGACCGAGCCGAGCAGCAGCGGCGUCCGCCGGUCCCGCCCGUAGGUCGCGAGCAGGGCCUGCGCCUC
rnacentral:antisense_RNA from 1 species